AACACAAAGAAUCAUGUCCAUUACUCAGGUAGUCCUAGUUACAGCUUAUACCGUGCGAGGUCCGUGGAGUAACGCUACGAAACGAGACUGUGUGUACGCUAUCUGCGACUUAAAAAGCGACUCAACACUUUCGAUUAUUCAUCUUCACUUCUCUGCUGAACUCCCAGCGUUUGCGCGCCGGAGGAGGCUCGCGGAAGGGAAUUACGUAACCGUUAUAUUUUUGCACCAUCGUGCAAAUCUACGGUGUGAUACGCCAGGAGCCUUUAGCUCAGCCAGAUCCACAAAGCAUUACACCGGCUCGCUCCCGGCUUGACCGCGCGUAGAGGGUGAGACCCCCGCUGGGCCUCGGGCUUUCGGGAUAAACGUUUGGAAAUGUCGCAGCGUUCCUGCGUCGGCCGGGGAAGACAGCUAGAGGACAGCAGACGGCUUCAAAGUCGCCCAGGGAAGGCAGCCAGCGCGUGGGUCCUUUUCUUGCUCCCACGCAGAGUUUCGAAGGACAGCCUCGUCUAGACAGUGCCUGGGUGAUAUGGUGAAGCUUCCACACGUCUGAUGCAACUGUUCUCACUGGGCUCCCCAAACGUAGCAUAUAUAUGGAUAUAACUUACCGGCCUUUUCCUACUGUUUGCAUGCCUCUAACUUAGAAAAAAUGAUCUAGUAAAAUUAACUACCUAAGUAAAAAAAAAAAAAAAAAAAAAAAAAAAUCAUUACAACGCUCUUUGGUCUUCAUCGUCACAUGUUUCCUUCAGAUCCACAGUCUGAAUUAAAGGUGAAUUUGUUGAAAUGAAUCAUGCCAGCUGUCCCAGUCAGGGCUCAGUCUGCCAAUCCAGAUUCCACAGCACAGGAGAUUAAUGUUAAAGCAAAUGGCAUUUUCACUUAGUAGUUGUUUUUUGCCACAGAAUAUGUGCUUACAUAAACCAAUAUCAUUUAA